UGGACCGAUGAUGACUACUGGUGGCGUAUGAGUCGUACGAUGACUACGUCUGUAAUCUGAGGUCGAU
ensembl:snoRNA